rnacentral:rRNA from 1 species
UACGGAGGUGGCAAGCGUUGCUCGGAAUCACUGGGCGUAAAGGGCGUGUAGGCGGGGAGGUAAGUCGGGUGUGAAAUCCCUCGGCCCAACCGAGGAACUGCGCCCGAGACUGCUUCUCUUGAGUCCCGGAGAGGAAGGUGGAAUUCCCGGUGUAGCGGUGAAAUGUGUAGAGAUCGGGAGGAACACCGGUGGCGAAGGCGGCCUUCUGGACGGUGACUGACGCUGAGGCGCGAAAGCGUGGGGAGCAAACGGG